AUGUGAAUGUCCAGAAUGUUCCAUUCCAUGCGCGACCAUUAGUGUUACUACAAUUAGGAGUGGUUUCAUAUUCAACCAUCUGAGACUCUGAGAGUGCUUUCAUAACCUGGUGAAAUUGUAAGAGAAAGAGAGUGAGUAUCAAUUUUGUGAUCACAAAUGUAGAGAUGAAUGUACAGGUGUCCUAUUAGUAUAUCCCACACAGGGCUCAGACAUUUACAUCUAAACAAAGUCACAAAAUGCCCCAUCCAAGUAUAGACCAUGGAGUAGGAAAGUGGAAACUAUCAUUCUCUUGCCAAGGAAAGACAAUGGUCUUCUUUAUAUGGAUUUAUAUAAUAUUUCUGAAAUCUAGAAAACAUAUAUAGCAUUUACAUAGUUUUCGCCAAGGAGAUAACUAUCAACUAGCCAUAUGGUAUAAUGGACUACUAUUAAAUUCAAAGAGGACAUCCUAAUAUCCAAAUAAUUAUACCCUACACACACCAACGCUUUUCCGCAUAUGGCAUGCAAACACCUAAAAACAUAUAACAUCCCAUUAUUAUCUUUUCACAUUAGUUCCAGUACUGUGAAUGAAGACAGGCCUAGUCUGAGAUACAUUCACUGCUGUAAUUGAAUUUAACAGUGACGGCAACGGUUCAACACUCCACAGUCCACAUAAACUGGCAUGCUUCAGAGUAAAGGAAUACAACAAAAUGCUCAUUACCCUAUAUAGUAGUCAGGACAUAAAAAAGCAUGAACGAACAUAUCAAAAUGAGAUCAAUCAAAAUAUAUUAAAUUAUCAUGAGAAAAACCCUGCGAGACAACUGCAUUGCAGAAUUGUCUCACAGUGCAACUAAGCAUUGAAGUCAAGUUACAAGAUUAAACAUGAUUAGCGAUUAGUUAAUUCCAUCCAAUUGUAUACAGUGGAAAAUCUGUCAACCAUUAAUAAGAAACCUGAAUGUAAUAUAUUCAGGUAUCAUCAAGUUCUUCGAUAAGUCAAAUUAUAUAUAAAGACAAAUCUAUUUAAUUGGCAGAUGGCAUUGACUUGAAUUCCACAAGUGAAAAGAUAAUCUGUUUUAUCUCUGAUAUUGUUUGCUUGCGGGCUUUGGAGUUGCAAAAUCAUCUUUAACUAUUUCUUUGUUUGGACGUCCUUCUUUUUCACAUUUUGCACGCUUUGCAGAUGUACGCUUGUUCGCAUUAGUCUUUGCAACAGUUUCUGGGACAAUUUUUUUACUGUUUACAAUUAGAAAAUAAACCAGGAUAUAAUGCAUUCGCAUAUAUGAACUUAACUACCAAUAGAUGGAUAUUUUUCACUACAAUACCUGGUUCCAAUUGCAGUCGAGUUUUUUCUAAUUUUUCCCUCUCCCUCCUUGCACGUUGUGCUUUCUGACGUUUAUUUAAUUGAAUGUCAAUGAGUUCUGUAACAACACUAGUAUCUGCUAGACAUGAAAUGAGACAUCCCACAUAAGGAAAUGCUCUAAUAGCACUCAGCCUUUUCGGAUCCUCGUUAAUUUGGAUGAACUCAAACCGGUUGACUUGAGCAUUGUAAGCGACCAAGCGACUUCUAUGCAAUAGCAAAAGGUCACCAUUCUCUCUAAGUUUGAUGGGCCGAACUCGUCCAUAAUCUUUUUGUACAGAGAAAUGCUUGAUCCAGGAAUUCUCCCCAUUGUCACUCUUCCUAAGCCAUAUGUCAACAAAAUCUUUAUGCUUGGCAUCCACCCAGGAAAGACAAUUUUCUAGUACCGCAAGUUCAUAACAAUUUAAUGAUAGUUCCACAACAACUGCUUCAGGUGGUUGGAUAACACUAAAAUCCUCAUACCCCAAGUUAAACGAAACAAUAUGUCGCUUAAACUCAGAAGAAUUCACAGGAGUGGCACUGAUCCAAUGAAAAGACCCAUUGGCAAAUACUUUUGAAGCAUUUACAUUGUAAUGGCAGAGCAUGGUUGGGACAUUACCAACUGCUUUUCUCCACAUAUUGCUACUGCCUAGUGUAUAAACAUACAUCUCCGUCAUAUCCUUGCAAGCAUCGAGAUCAGAAGAAGUAACAUCGAUUGAAUGGAUGCCGUAAUAAAACAAUAUCGCCACCUUGAAUACCCGUUGAGAGUCGUCAAAACCAAAAAAAUAUUGACUUCUCAUAUAGUACAUAGAACGGCUUGGCCUACCAAAUGUAGGGAGUUGUGUGUGUUCUCCAGUGAUGGGGUUCAAUAAGCAAAUGUACUUUAAAGAGUCAACGGUGGAAGUGUCAACGACGCUAAGACCAUGAAAUGAUGGAUGAGUGAUCAAGCACAAAAGACCAUUGCAGACACCUACAACAGAUUUGAGGACUUGUGCAGCCGCAUAGAUAAAAGAAAGGUCGAUUUUUUUGACAAUGGGAUAAUUGGGUCCUCCUUCAACAAAGUAGAGUUGGUAUCCUGAACUAUUAUUGUUGGGAAAAGUGAACACAAUGGCAUCAGUAAGGCUGUUGGUAGUAAGGGAUCGUUGGAAUCUGAGGGUAGAGAGUAUUGGGCCAGAGGUUAUGUUGUGCCAUGAUUUGCAGACACACCUGGCUCGGAGCAGAGAAAUCAAGGGAAGCCUUGAAAAAACAUCCAAGAUAAGGUCCUGCGUUAGUCUCUCCAUUUUUCUCUCUUCAAUAAAAAUAUUUGUCUCACUAUUUUCUUCAGUGAUGAAGAGGCGGAAGAUGAAGAAGAGGAACACAGUCCUUUUUCAUGACACAGGGUGUAAGAAUAAAGAAAUUGAGAGAAUCAGAAACAUUUCAUAUCGUUCUCCUCUACAUCUUCACUAUUUAUACUAACAAGUGUAUCUAACCAGUAGCAAUUUUGCAAUUCCUAACUAAUACACAACUGUUUUGACUUCUAACCAUUAGUAAUUGCUGGCCAAACAUGCCAACUCUCCAACUCUGACAUGUGCCAAAACUCAGAAACUUAGGAUACUCCGCCCAUUAAAACAAAUCUCCUUGUCAAAACGCCCUUGUCCUCAAGGAUAAAUGUUUGGAAACUAGGCAUGUAUAUCAAUAGCAACAUCAUGAUUACACCGGAAAAACAGAACGAUAAUUACGAAGUAACAAUUGCAGAACCAUCUAAACUAAAAAAUAUCAUUCAUAACAAAUUCAUCUAUUUAAUUUUUUUCUCAGUACAAAGAGAAUGCCUGAACUGGGGAAAGAGAGCUUCAACCAUUCAGGUGUCAAGAAGCAGCAAAGAAUUACGAGACUCAUACGCGUUGAAGUCCCAUAACAAACAACAAGAGGACUACAUAGCUCUACAAUUCCCCUAACCCCGGUACAGAAUCAAGUCCUGGAACCAAUAUCUUCACCUCCCUAUAUUACCAGCACACCAGAACUUGAUUGACGGCUUUAAUUAAGCAUAUCAACUCCACAAUGUGAGAUCAUGAAAAUGAUUGCUAUGGCUUGCAAAUUGAGGUGAAACUCUGGCAGGGGUAGAAAGCAGAGACCAUGACAAAAAAGUCAGAACUCAGAUUCAAAUGUCCAAUCCGUAGGAAUAGUUCGGAAAUAAAGCUAACAAGAUAUUCGAUCACCACAAACGACAGUACAGAUCCUAGGGCAACAUACAAGCAAAUGAAAAAUAUACUUUCGAGAAGUAUAUUCAUAUCAGAGAAAUAAAUGGAAAUCUGUGUUUAGAACUCCAAUGUUAUGAACCAAGUGAGGAAUCAUAAAGAAAAAAAAGUUUUCAUAACCAAGAGUGUCUAAAUCAUUAUCAAAACAUGAUGGCAACAAAGAGCACUUAUUUUUUUUAUUCCUUUGCAACAGAAAAAUUAUCGAAAACAUCUUAAAAAUCUGAUAAAUUUGGCUAAUAGGACUAAUGAUCCGGUCUUUUUUUCCUAAUUCGAGAAGAAAUAGUACCCCUUUUUUCAGUUGGGAAACUUUAACUAUUCCUAAAUAUUUCCUCAAUAUACCAGUUUAUGCUUCAUGCACUCUGUCCUAUAAGCACCACUGGAAGGUAUUACGAGGUGCAUGGAAAAUGCAAUAACUCCAUGUCAACUAGCUAUCUGAUGUUUAUUCUCUGUAACAGACCACCACCAACCCCAAAGAAUGAAAACCCGAAAGAUACCUAGAGCACACUGCUUGCGACAAGAUUCUAGUCAGAGGAUGUUACAGUAUUUAAAUCCAACCGUGAAAACAAGGACACAACACAAUGUAUGGGACAUUACCAACUGUUUUUCUCCACAUAUUGCUACUUCCUAGUGUAUAGACAUACAUCUAAGUACUCAUAUUCUUGUAAGCAUCGAAAGGAGAAGAAGUACCAUUGAUAGAAUUGUUGCCAUAAAAAAAUAAAAUAAAAUAAAAUUUGCCACCUUGAAUACCUGUUGAGAGUCAUCAAAACCAAAACAACAUAAUGACAUAUAGACUUCUCAUAGAAGGGCUUGGGCUAUCAAAUGUUGGGAGUUGUUUGUGUUCUCCAGUGAUGGGAUUCAAUAAGCAAAGGUACUUUAAAGAGUCAUUGGUCCCGAUGACACCAUGAAAUUUUGGAUAAGUGGUCAAGCACAAAAGACCAUUGCAGACACCAACGACAGAGAGGAGGAGUUGUCCGGUACCGUAGAUAAAAGAAAGGUCGAUCGAUUUUCUUGACAAUGGGAUGAUUUGGUUCUCCUUCAGCAAAGUAGAGUUGGUUUUCGGGACUAUUGUUGGGAUAAGUGAGAACAAUGGCGUCGGUAAGAUUGUUGGUAGUAAGGGAUCGAUGGAAUCUGAGGGUAGAGAGUAUUGGGCCAGAGGUUAUGUUGUGCCAUAACUUGGAGACACACCUGGCUCGGAGUAGAGAAAUCUAAGGAAGCCUUGAAAAAACAUCCAAGAUAAGGUCCUGCGUUAGUCUCUCCAUUCUUCUCUCUUCAAUAAAAUUCUAUUUUCUCACUGUUUUCUUCUGUGAUGAAGAAGUGGAAGAUGAAGAAGAAGAACACAGUCGUUUUUUAUGACACGAGUCGACGUUAGAAUUUGGAAAUUGAGAGAAACGGAAACAUUUCAUAUAUUCUUCUAUUCUUCUGUAUAUUUACUAACUAAGUGUAACUAACCAGUAGCAAUUUCACAAUUAGUCAAUUACCAACCAAUACACAACUGUUUGACAUCUAAUCUAACCACUUAGCAUGUGCAGAAACUUAGCAUACUCAGCCAAUUAAAACAAAUCUCCUUGUCAAAAUGUCCUUGUUCUCAAGGAUAUUGUUAGGAAAAUUGGCAUUGACUGAUGGACAUCAUUAACAACAGCAUGAUUACAACAAAAAAACAGAACACUAACCAGGAAGUAAAUUUAUGUAAGAUUAAAAAAGCUCUAUAUCAUUCCCAAUUAAGUAAUUCCGAGCAGGUAAGAGUGCUUACAUUUUUUGCAAAUUGAAUGAAAUUUCCACAAAGGCUAGCGAAACAAUCGAUCAUAGUUCCACCACCACACAUUUUAGCAAUUAGCAUGGUUACAUUGCAAUCUCUUCUAGAGUCACAGAAAUCCACCCUUUCUCAUCUAUUUGAUAUCCUCAUCAUGCCUAGAGAAAGUAUUGACUGAUUGUAUUUUUGAAACGGAUUCACUCCUUGUACCUGCAAGUAAUGAAGUAGAGUUGUUUAUUUUGAUUUGAUUUCAUUUUUAAAAAUAGAGCUAGGGUUUUGUUUCUACCUUUCUUUUUGUUCCUCUUGCAUUUCUUCAAACGACUCGCGUGUGGUUUUAGCAGUUUCGAACCGAGAACUGCUGCUUUCUUCUUCUUCUUCUUCAAUUAUUAGGCAAAUUGAGGUUACUGAAAGGGCGGGAAUGAGAAUAAAUCGAGCUUCAGAGCCAAUAGGACUACAGUUCCUACAGUACUAGUCAACCAACUAGUCAUGUUUGCUACUGUAUAUUGAGUCAUU
rnacentral:lncRNA from 1 species